GCACGGGUGAGUAACACGUAUCCAACCUACCGAUAACUCUGGAAUAGCCUUUCGAAAGAAAGAUUAAUACCGGAUAGUAUACGAAUAUCGCAUGAUAUUUUUAUUAAAGAAUUUCGGUUAUCGAUGGGGAUGCGUUCCAUUAGUUUGUUGGCGGGGUAACGGCCCACCAAGACUACGAUGGAUAGGGGUUCUGAGAGGAAGGUCCCCCACAUUGGAACUGAGACACGGUCCAAACUCCUACGGGAGGCAGCAGUGAGGAAUAUUGGUCAAUGGACGAGAGUCUGAACCAGCCAAGUAGCGUGAAGGAUGACUGCUCUAUGGGUUGUAAACUUCUUUUAUAUGGGAAUAAAGUUUUCCACGUGUGGAAUUUUGUAUGUACCAUAUGAAUAAGGAUCGGCUAACUCCGUGCCAGCAGCCGCGGUAAUACGGAGGAUCCGAGCGUUAUCCGGAUUUAUUGGGUUUAAAGGGAGCGUAGGUGGAUUGUUAAGUCAGUUGUGAAAGUUUGCGGCUCAACCGUAAAAUUGCAGUUGAAACUGGGAGUCUUGGAGUACAGUAGAGGUGGGCGGAAAUCGUGGUUAGCG
rnacentral:rRNA from 1 species